GGCCGGCUUGGCGGGCGCCGGUGCAGCGGGGCUGCUGGCGGCCGCCAAGGCCGGUCCCUUGUCCGGCGCCGGUUCC
rnacentral:tRNA from 1 species